GUGUGAGUGGCUUAAACUGUACAUUGAACUCUCCACUGGCAGACUGACAGUGUGGUCAAGUGGAGAGUGCACUCAAGUUAGGCCCCAUACCUGGCUCUGUGACUGACGAGCCGUGUAACCUCAGGCAAGUUGCUUCAUGUCUCAGUUUCCUUUCCUGUCCUUCGUCCGUUUAGACUGUGAUCCCUGUGAGUGUGUCUGCCCUGUGUGAUGCAGCACCCUGUGGAGAUGCGCAAGGUAGCUCCCGGGUUAGGAGAGAUACAGUUACGUCAGUGCGAUACUGCAGCCAAGCCAAGCAGCUCGGGUGGCUGUCGGGGUUUGGCCAUCGGCCAUGCUGAUGUGGCUAUACCGUUCUUCAGAAUAAUCCAGUCUCUCUGUUGUGCCGCGUGGAUGUCUUAGCUUAUUUGGAGUCAACUCAGGGAAUCGCUGGGAGGAGCUGGUACCCUUGUGAGCUGAGCAUGUGAUUCCUGGUGGUCAGAAGGUGAUCCUCAGCCGUGCAGACUACAGCAGAACUUCCCCACCUUCAGCUAGCCAAGGAUUUGCCUAGAGCUACAUUUAUGAGGGCACUUGCUUCUUCAGGGACUCCCACUGACUGCCAGCAAGAUAAGGCCAAGCUUCUGGUGAGAGAUAUCCUUGGUGGCUGCAGUUCUGAAUCUGCUGAAGGCUUGUCGGUCUUUCCCAGACACUUCUGUUUGUUUCCUGUUUCAGAGCAGGCCUAUGGGUUUGGGUUGUUGUUUGUUGUUCUCGUCGUCUGGACCUUCCUCUAGGCUUUGUAAGCACCGGAGACGCCCCUCCUUCCAUGUUUGGAGGUGCUUCUCUCCCUCCAGCUGGGAGCGUGGAAUGCUGCAUCCACUGCAACAGAGGAUGGGAGCCUGCAGCACCAGGGCUGGGCAUUUCAUCCUUUCCCCAGGAGAGCAGUCACAUUGCCACCACUCUUCUGUGAGUUUGGGGAGGGGAGUUCACUCUCAAACCCACACAGCAAUGCAGUUCAGUCCUGCUGUACCUUCUGCAUGAUUCCAGCCCAAUGUAAUGUUCUUCCAUUUGUAUUUUAGGCUUUUUUCCC
rnacentral:lncRNA from 1 species